AACAAGGCGUACCUGCGGACCUGCGGAAGGAUCAUUACAGAGUGUUUAACCCCCUAUAAAAUGGUGGGUCUAACCUCCCGUCCUUUGCUGGGUCCCCCUUCUGGAGGACUUUCAAAACUUUCUGCUUCGGCGGGGUAUACCCGCCGGAACACCCUCAAAAAAUUCUUGAUCAAAAUGGUUCGGUCCGAGAAACUUUUUGUGAAAAUUAGCGAAAAACUUUCAGCAACGGAUCUCAGAUCG
rnacentral:misc_RNA from 1 species